UCAUCCAUGAACAUUUUCCAUGCAGAGUCUCACUGAUCUACAGGUAAGUUACAACCUCUGCAUAGUUAAGCGGAGCCACAUAGGGACAAAUUCCUGCAGUAAGAAAUAUUUUAUGUGCCUGGCCCUUUAAAUGACCCUAUGGUCUUCAGUGACAGUUGGCUCUUGGACUUCUGGGAACAGAAUUGGGUAGAAAGCCAACAGAAGCUGAGAGGGAGGGGAGAAGUGAGAAGGAAGUGGGAGAGAGGAGGAGGAGAAGUAGGGUUCAGGAAACAGAAGAGUGUGUCAGCAAAGAAGAAAGAAGACCUUAGGCAGGGCUAGAAAAGAGUAGAGAAGACAUUUUGAAGAGUGAAACUAAGAAACAGUUAAAGUGAGCUAGCAGUGAGAAGACAGUUGGUCACAGUUUACUCAGGAGAAGCUGGGCAGAGGCAGAGACAAUAGUGUUAGGAAACAAACAAAAGAAGAACCCAUGAAAAAACCACAAAUGAAGUAGCUAUAUAAGUUUAUAGAGAAAAAGAACAAUAAAACAAAAAGGGAAAAUUUUUAAGCCAAAGGAAAAUUGAGCACCCAAUGUGGAGUCUGUUUGAAGGAAGAAAAACAAAUCAGAAACAAAACAAACCAACCUUAUAUUAAGAGACAUUUGGCCACCAUUGUGGCCAGGCAGGAUGGGAAGCUUUAUUUCAAGUACGAUCAAGGAACAGAAAAGAAGGGAUGGGUAAUUUGUUUGAAAAAGCUGAUAGUGUAUUUACAGAUGCUGUUGUUGGAAUAUACCCUCCAUUGUUUUUAGUCAUUUUCCCCUGUUUUUCCUUGUUUUGACUUAAUUAGUUUAUAAGAAUGUUAAAACACUGGUUAGCCAACUGGAAACCUUACUGGCGGAAACAGAGCAACUUGGUAAUAAGAGAGCAUCAAGAAAAAGGAGAACAAAUAUGUUCAUUUCCAGUGACUAAUUCAAAAGGAGGGAGUUUCCCCACAUAGAAAAAGAGGGAGGAAAUGUGUCAAUGGGCAGUUGUAUCAAAGAAAUGAAAAAUAAUGGUCAAAUAAGAAAAGUUUUUUUUUCUUCCAGAAAUAGGGAUAAACCCACAGCAGUCCUUGGUCAAAAUCACCAAGAGCGUUCCCAGUACUUACAAAGCAUAUGCCUGCUAAUGAGGAUAAUCCACAAGGUUAUCAUGAGAGAGGUUGCAUUCUAUAGAAAUGGAAGGCCUAAAGCAGUUUAAGGAGGCAAUGAUAUUUUAUUUGAUGCACCCAGCAUAAGUGAAACAAACGCUACAUUGGAAUACUCAGAAUAGGUGUAUUCCCUAAGAAUGGAGGGCAUUGGUCACAGUUGUACUAGAGGCUGGUCCUUAAAUGGCAAUGGUUUUCAUAGUGAAGAGUAGUCAGGAAUUUGGAACAGCACAAUAGAGCAAGAGAAAUUAAUUUGGGGAGGGACCGGUUGAUAGGUAAAAGUUAUUAUGCUGAUAUGCAAGAACAGUUCAAUUGAAGAGGCAAUCAUAGAACAAUGUUUCUUUAAGAGCAUGGGGCAAAGUUUACAAGCCAGAAAAGAAAUCAAACAUCAUUUACAGAAAGUUUCCAAGGCUUUGAAGCAGCCAUCUUUGAUUUUUUUUUACAAAGAUUAAUCUCAGCAGUAAAUAAGACUAGACCCUAGCCAUCGAAACUGAAAAUGUGGAGUGUAAAAAGUCAUAAGGCCAGUGAAGGAACAGGCUAAGCCCAUAGAUGUACAGAUAAAGAACAUGAAUGAUAUUGGUUCUAAUUUAUACACAGCUAGUAUAACAGGUCAAGCUACAGCUAUAGGUCUCCCAUAUCAGAAGGCCUGGUUCUUUACUUGUGGGAAAUAGGGACAUUUGAAACAAAAUUGUGACCAAGGCAUCUCUAAGGGCAAUUGUCUUCCAAAACAUAAUUCAGAAAGUGCAGACUUCCAGGAGGGUGCAGACGAUGUGGCAAGGGUUACCAUUGGACCAAUGAACUUAGGUCCAAGAGAGAUAUCCAAGGCAAUGUCUUGGAUAAUGCCAUUGGGAAACUAUAUGGGGGUGGGGGCUUUAAUAGAGUUAAACUUAAUAGAGAUGUCAAGAUGCACACGUGGAUCACAGAGAUCCCAAACAGGACUCUAUGUUGCCUUCGACUAAUUCUCCUACUGGGCUCAUUAUGCAAAGGAAAGAUAGUAUUUUAGAAUGGAUUUUCAAAGCAUACAAAGUAAAAAAUUAAAGGCUUACAAGGAAAAUGUUUCUCACUCAAUUAUAAAAUAAGACUUCAUGAAUUAUCAGGCAUAGACACAGCACAAAUCAUAGUGCUUUAUAUAAUGCUAAGAUUACUUCGUUAUGGGUAAUCAAUAAAGAAUGGGAAAGAACUUGUGGAACCUCCUUGGGAGAAAUUAACCAUCUAAUAUCCUAAAAGCAGAUGCCUUUAUUUAUAAAAAGUACUAAUGGGAUUCUCUUAUGUAUUUUAAUGUUAAUGCCAAUUCCUGAAGUGCCUACAUUUUUUUACUGAUGCAAAUAAAUUAAGAAUGGCCAGUUAUACAGGAGAAAAAUUAGCAAAGUAAUGCAAAGCCCAUGUAAUUCAGUUCCAAAAUAAAAAAUUGAGAGAGAGAAUUGUAUGAAGUUCUUACGUAUUGUAUUAGUUCUAUUAGAUUUUUCUGAACCUAUUAACAUAAUUACUCUCCAUAUGAAGAAAGAAUUAUUUUGCAGACAGAAACUGCUGGUAACUAAGAAUUAACAUUUUUAUACAACUGCAAUAAUUAGAAACAAAUUAUUAAGUAUGACCCAUAUUUGGUCUCCUACAGGCUUGCCAGGUCAACUAGCACAAGAAAGUGAGGAAAUUGACCAUUAGUAAAACAAGAGCUAGAAGCCUCAAAACUUCAUAACCAAUACUGUCUUAGUGGUAAAAUUCAAAUUUUUUUCUGUCACUUGGCAACAAGACAAGUAAAUUAUAAGAAAAUGUCAAUCUUGUUUUUUGUAGAACCAAACUUCAUUACAAAUAAGCUACCCUCAGAGUACCAAAAGAAAUGAAAUGAAUGUGUUUCACUUUGCAGAAUUUGAAAAAGUAAAGUUUGUACACAUACCGUCAUUGAUAUAGGCUCAGGGUUUCAAUGAGCAACUGCUUUGAGUUCUGACAAGGCUGAUUUUAUAAUUAUAAAAUUAUUGAAAGUAAUGGCAAGUGUGGGGAUACCUGUACAAUUUAAGAUUGACAGUGAUAUAUGUCUCCAAUAAGAUGAAGGGAUUCUUUGCAUAUUAUAAUAUAAACCACAAUACAGGUAUAUGACACAAGACUACAGGACAAGUAGUUGUAAAAAGAUCUAAUUGUACCUUUAAAAAUGCUGAUACAGCAAAAAGGAAGGAAAAAGACCCCCAGGGGUGGACUAAAUAAUGCUCUGUUAACUUUAAAUUUUCUGAACAUUAAUGAGAAAGGAACAACAGAAGCUGAAAGACACUGGGUUAUAAAAAAAACCUUUGGAGUUAAAUCAACCUACACACUAUAAGGUUGUGUUAACAUCAGAAUGAAAGGUGGCAAUGUAUUGUGUUGGGGACAUGGAAUUGUUAGAAGCUAUGGAUACAAUUACAACUAAGAAAGCUCAGAUCAUCUGAAAACCUUGAACACUGACCAAAAAAAAAAAAAAAGAGUAGGAAAGAGAUCCUCACCAACCACAGCGUUUCCCUGCCAGUCAGCAGAGCCAAACAAGAAAAGUUGAGCACCCAAUCACUGGCAGGCCUAUGGGGAUGACUUUGGUCUCCUACAAAAGACAGCCAUGCUCAAUGCAGAUCAACAACAGGCUAAGGGGCAGGACAAUAAGGGAGAUGAUGCUGAAUACAGCAUCCUGAAAGCCGACAUGGAGACUAAGCAAAGCUUCACAGAGCUGGGGACAGAGACUGAGACCUGGAAAAGGAACUCCAAAGAACAAGAUGUUGGAAGAUAAGGUGGCCCAGAACAUAAGAAAGGUUCAUGAGGAAGGACCCAAAUUGCAGGAAGGAGAUCAUCCCUGUGAGGGUCUUAUGUUGUGGAUAUGCUUCUGAUCGAUCAUCAGAAAGAUCACAUCAGACACCCAGAACCCUGGGAAAGUCAUUGGAAAUAAUUGAGAAGCAGCUGCAAAACUGAGCACUGAGCUACAACAAAAGGGAGGAAAUGCACUGUGAAAUAUUGUAUGUGCCUGGCCCUUUAAAUGACCCUGCACUGGAAAGUGAAUUGGGCUGGCAGACUGAGAGGACAGUUGGUGACAGCUUGUCAAGGAGAAGCUGAACUGAGCCAGAGAAGAUCUUAGGAGACAGAUAAAAGGACACACAAUGUAGCUAAGUAAGUUUAUAGAGACAAAGAAAAAAUGCAACUUUUCCUUUUUUACAAAAAGGAAGAGGCCUCCAAACAAAGCCUCUAGCAAGCUUCAAGUGGAAACAUCGUAUCAGCCCCACUAAACCUACCCUGGCUCCUGCACUGCAGACCUUCCACCAGCAAUAUAAGGCAGUGACUCGUGCUCCUUGCCCAGGAACUUCUCACCACAGUUUUUGUGAUGUGAAAAGUGCUCCAAGGUCACCUGAAGGAUGCUAAUGAAUUCACUGCAGUGAUUUUACUGAAAUGCAGCACACUGCACAGCUGUGAGGGAGAAUCUGUCCUGAAGCCCAGCAAUGCACAUGCUCUACUCAGCAGCACAGUGUUAGCAGAGGGAUACAUUGUAGGAGUCCAUGCAUCCUUAGGGUGAGGCCAAUAAGACAUACCGGGAAUUUCCAUGGGCGUACCUCUGUGCAGGGAAAGUAAACUAAACUUCUUUAGUUUACUUUUAUUUUAUUUUUUUGUAAGUGUUUUUAUUUAUUAUAUGUAAGUACACUGUAGCUAUCUUCAGAUACACCAGAAGAAGGCAUCAGAUCCCAUUACAGAUGGUUGUGAGCCACCAUGUGGUUGCUGGGAUUUGAACUCAGGACCUCAGGAAGAACAGUCAGUGUUCUUCACCACUGAGCCAUCUCUCCAGCCCUUUUAUUUUUUAAAAAGCUAUAUGAAGUUUUAGUAUAUUAAAAAAUGUUAGUUACAAAACAAUAAAAUUGUAUAAAUUGUAAAGAAAGCCACCAUGUUCUUCCUCUCUCUGAGCAAAUAAACCUUGUAGGAAAUGAGACAAAACAGUCUACGUGAGAGGGGACAGGGGAUCCAAAGAAUGCUGGUCAGCCAGCUUUGCCCACCAAUAUACACAUCUGCACAGACAGACACACACAGGUCAUAGAAAUUAUAAGUGAGCAGAGAGCACUGAGGACAUCAUGCUGGCUGAACAGUUGGAUUUAGAUUAUGCAUAGGAGAUAUUUCAAGUGAGACCCAUGACUCUGGUGUUCAACUUGGGGACUGCAAAUGCCUAGGGACAGCAAUGUUGAGGUCGUUGGAGAAAUUUUUUUCUUUUGAAUCCUCAAAUCUGUCACACUAACCCACAACCUGUGAGAAUCCUUCCCCACACCGCUGGUCAUCCAGGCAGCUCAGGAAAGAAUUCUCCAACAGGACGCACAGAAAUAGGGCAAACCUGCUGCUACUCAGGCCCUGUGAGUGUGAAUCAAGAUGUGCAAAGGCUGAAGAGACCAUCUUGUGAUGCAAGGAACAAGGGGAAAGGCCACAUGCCAUUCAAAAAGGAGACAAUGAGAACCAUUCAUUUCCAGUGGGCAAUAUCUUUGCAAGUUGCUUCCUACCUGUGACCUCACAUGACCCCUCUAAAACCAAUGAGCCACAGGCUCCUGACCACGUCAAUCAAAGCUCUGUGCUUGCUCCAGAAGUGGCUCCCAAUUAGCACAACUUCUGAGUCAGUGGCGUAUCAGGGUGUGCUCUGUGAUCAACCCAUCUCCCUUGAUGAACUGCAGCUUCAGUUAGAGCAGGAAAUUGUCCUUGCCUAUCAUUCAUUUUCAUAAUAGAGGCUAACUCCAGAGAAAGUCUUGUAAAUGACCACAGAAAUGAACUACUGGAUGAAACAUGGUUGAGCGCCUGUGUAAGGUGGAGGAUGGUUGCAUGGGCUUGACUGUUUAUGGUUAGGCACGAAGGCAACCUGCCCCUGCUUGGUACAUAGAUUUUCCUGCUAGCCUCCCCUCUGAGCCCUUCCGUCUCCUCCCAGGACUCUCCUGUAGUGUAGUCUGCCCCCUGCAACUUUCUGCUCUCCUUCCUUAGUCCGAGAGGUACAAGUCCAAGAGGUUCAAGUCUCCGGGCAAGUCUUCUGCUAAGAGGCAGACAGUGUGGAACCGGAGAUAUCACUUUGGUUCAAAAGCAAAGAAGGGAGAAGGAUUCCCUGCCAAUUGCUGCGGUCCCAGUCCUAUCAGUCCCGCGCAGUAUUCAUUUUCUAGUGUGAGUUCAUUACAUUUACCCGAAGACUCUUAUGUGCGAUCACUAUGCUGCAUCUGAGUCGACUCCCUCAACCUAAAACUAAACUACAACCAAAAAACUGGUGAAGCCCUGCCAGCCUCGAUCUGCCUCCCACUACUUCACGUACUUUUAAGUACUAGACAACCAACGGGAUUCAGGUACCUCGCAGAAGAGGAUGUGGUCCCCACUUGUGCUUAUAUGUCUGUGGUUUUAGAAAACCAUGAGCAGGGAGAGGGCAACUCUACUUCUCAGAGAUGAGACAAGACUGAACAGGAAUGCAAUCUUUCUAUGUCUCAUGGAACCCAGAUCUCUAAAUCCGUGGUCAGAGCCCCAUAGGCUCAGGGCUGAUUGAUCUCCCUCUCAUAAUGCACCCCCUUUUCUUUCUAGAGGCUCUGGAGUUGGGCGGGACAAUGCUUGGGUGGCUCACGGAUGGGUCACAUUCAGGAAAACUGAGUCCGAGAGGUACAAGUCCAAGAGGUUCAAGUCUCCGGGCAAGUCUUCUGCUAAGAGGCAGACAGUGUGGAACCAGAGACAUCACUUUGGUUCAAAAGCAAAGAAGGGAGAAGGAUUCCCUGCCAAUUGCUGCGGUCCCAGUCCUAUCAGUCCCGAGCAGUAUUCAUUUUCUAGUGUGAGUUCAUUACAUUUACCCGAAGACUCUUACGUCCUGGGUGAAUUUUCUGCAGGUCCCACAUACCCUUCUGAUGUUGCAUAUUUAGCAUCUCCAAUUCAAAGUUCAGCCUGAGGUAGGGCUCACCACUGUGUGCAAAGAACCCCAUGAAUACAGGAUUCAAGGCUCAGAUUAAUUCAGGUUGCAGCCUGGAGUACUCCCUUCCAGAAUAUGCAAAAUCCUUGCUCCUAUGUGCUGGUUCUCUUGAUGCUUACAAAAUGUAUUAUCCAUGUCCAAGACCAAAGGAGGCAGGAUAUAAAAAGGAGGGAUCUGGGCUGGAUAAGCUUAGUGGGACUGUAGGAAGACACCAGUGCUCUAAGAAGUUCCCAGAAGUCUGUACCACAGUCCUAGGCCCACCAGAAAGCCUUGAUGACAUUUCUUCUGUUUUCAGAACAGGGAUUCUCCGUACUGGGUUCCUAUUGCUACAGGAAAGCCCAGAGGACAUAACCAAUAUUUCCAGGGAGGAGGCUUUAUAAACUCACCAGGUGAUUUCAGUUUGUCACCAAGGCGAGCACUGGGGCAAAGGGCUCUGCUGCUCAAAGUGGAGUUCUGUGACUUCAUCAUUGGGAUCACCUGGAAACUUCAAGGCUGGCAAAUCUUUAGGACUGACAAUCACAGCACCUAGCAUCUUGCAUGAACCAAUUCCUGUCAAAGCCUCGUAUUUACAUGAGAGCUCACACACUACAGCCCCUAUGGCCCAGACCGUGAUUCUGGUGACAGAUUAUGCUUCUCAUUUGGAGGAAGAAAAUUAGCUUGUGUCCCCAUCCACUUCUAUCUGCUGCUAUGCUCUGCCUCUGAGAGGCACACAGGAAAAUGAGUUUGUGUGUGAGGACUCCCUAGAUGUGCAGCCUUCUGUGACAUUAGGAAAGCUGAGUUAACAGAAAGUUAACAAGACAGCCAACAGGCAACUGGGGAUAGUGACUCCCUGUUGUUUAAAUCCUUUCUAGUGUAAUGUGAUAGGAUUUUAUGAAAUUCGUUCCUUUCAUUUUUAAUUUUCUGGAACUCAAAUUUCAGUUUCUCCAAUUUCUUCAUCUGAUGCUCCUGCUCAGUGAGGGUGGAGGGUUGGUACGAUGCCUUCGCAGCAGACCCUAUAGGUAGAUAAAAACAAGUGAAAAAGCAUAGUUGAUGUCACAGGCCCAGGAGAGACCAUGCUGAGUCCCCAAUAGAAGCCUGAGGAAGAGGGAAUGCUAGAGACACAGUGAAUCCCUGACAGAGCAGGAAAGCUGUCUUCAUGCUGGUCUCCUCAGCUAUGUCCCUGUUCCCAAAACUACCAUAGCUAGACAUAUGCCUCACUCACUCUGCCAUUCCCCCAGACCCAAAAUGCAUAAGCUGGCCUAGGCAGGAGGAUUGGAGGGCAUUGUCGGAUCUUAUCAGAUGUGAUACAACUAAUUCCUGAAGUCCAUAGUGCUUAGGACCACCGAGCCCUAAUCCCGUGUUCAAGUUCAAAGUGUCUGAAUGAUUGAGACCUUGAUACAUGACCAGGGAGUAUCCCUCUCUGUUCUUGGCAUCGCAUAGCCAUGUAACUUAAAGGAGUCCAUGGAGGAUGAAGGGCCUCAACACCCAAUCCUGAAGGGAGACUUUACUUCCUUCUGGCAUCCUUUGCUACUCACAAUGAAAUUAAGGAGCUCCCAGCAGAAUGACUUCAUGUUUGUCAGUUCUUGGAUCUCUGCCAAACUAACCAUCAGAAAUCCUCGGCUCUGGAUCUGCUCUUUAGGAAGCCAGAGGCUCCAGAUUACAAACCCUACUCCUGGAAGGACCAGUUCAAGCCUACCUCCUCCGUGAAGCUCCCUAUCCCCAGCCUGUGGUUUAUUCUGCCUUCACCAGGAUCAUUUAUUUCUUCCCCUUUAUGCCAAGUCCAAAGGUCAGCUUCCUUGUACCUCUCUCUGCUCUCUCUAUGUGCUCCAUUCUCCCUACGAAAUGGACUUUGCAGUUGAGACAAUAUAUCUAUGAGCAAAACCUCAAGGCACUGAAUGCCCUAAAUACAGUUACUGUUGCCACAAUCCCAGUUACUGUUGCCACAAUCCCAGUUACUGUUGCCACAAUACUGGUGGCCUCACAGAGAAUGCUAAGGAAUCUCAGAGAUACAUUGGAAGCUCCAGAGGGGGGACUGUUAGCUUCCCCUCCAGAAGCCCCAAAUCACUAGCAGCCAAGCUGUCCUUUCCAGGAGUCUCCUGGAGACACAAGAGAAGACCUUCAAUCGCCCCCUUCCAAAGGCAGAGAUCUGUCUGCUCCAUUAGUAACUUUUCACUCCUUCAUGAAUAGUGAAGAUACACGUUCCAAACACAGACUAGAAAUGGCCCUUCCCCUCCUAAAGAUCUUUAAUCAAUGAGUUGAUGAAUAAAGGUUACUAGGACUAUAGGUCAAAUGGUGAGGAAGAAAGAUUGCUCCCCUGUAGUGGUAAUCAUAUCAGGGUAGAUGUACAGGGCUCUUUGAAUAAGUUGGGGUGAUGAAUGAUUAUGGGUGUUCUGUCAGAACAAUGGGACCCUAAGAAAUAGGAUCUAUCUCACUUUACAGAAGCUCUCAGAUUCUAAGCUCCUUUCCUGGAAGACACAGUUCAAGUCUACAUCCUCCAGGAAAUUCCUGUUUCCAUGCCCAGGACUCACUCACUGCAUAUUCUCCAGAACCAUUUGUAUCUUCUUGUACACCAAGAUCGAAUGCCACUUUCCCACUGCUCAUCCUUGAUAACAUGUCUGCAGGUGAACUCUAUAGGCGCUGAAGGAAUAAGCCACAGGCAGUUGGUGUCACCACAAACAUGGUGACAUCACUGAAGAUUCUACGGCUCUCUUGGAUACAAUACAUUACCCAGAGAAGGGACAACAUACUAAUGACAUUAUUGGGACCUGCUCUAGCCUACCCACUAACUAGCUCUCCUCUAAUUGAACAGAAGCUGUGAUGCCCUAUUCAGGAACCUCUCCUGUGACAUGGGGAAUCUUUCACCACUUCCUCCUUCCCAAGCUGGAGAUUUCUCUAUGCCCUUGUUAGAGCCUCACUUUUCAAACACUGCUCAGGGGUUAGUCGUUCCACUCAAUUGGCAAAAAGGCUUUCCCUGCAGUGGACUCCCUUUGUAAACUUUAUGUACUGUGUACCAAUUUUGUAAAUCCUCGAGGCAGGAAAAUAGCCAGGCCCCUACCCGAGAAGCUCCAGCAUCCAUGCCCCUCCCCUGAACCUCCCUAAGUGUCAUAACUGUCACAAAGGUCAUCUUCAGACCCUCAACAGGAACCUCCUCAUAUUAUGAUAAUAUUAGGUGAAACAUUUGAACAAAAGCCACCAAUCCCUGAACUUCAAACAGAAACUAAUCCCUGACCACUAAAACUCACCAAUCCCUGGACAGGAAAUGUGCUAAUUCAUGAGCUCCCUCAAACUCAGGACUUGAAAUCCCACCAAUCCUGACUCUGAAAAAUCUCCACUCUAGGAAGCUCCCCUUACCUACUCCCAGGACCCUGUAUAGGUCCUGUUCCUUGCCCAAUUCUUGGUGUCCGCUCCCACUUGGGAGCAAAGCCAGGCACUCCUGGAUUCAACCAUUCACAUGCUGGACCCUCCAACCAAGCCCUUUUUUGAGCUAUGCUGCCCAGGGUGACUGACUCAUAGGAUGACAAGAAACAGUGAAGAGGAGCAGGAAAGAAGUGAGGUGAGGGAGCAGGGCUGAGGCUCCUGAGCUCCUGGCCUCAGCUGGGGAGACCCUCCUGUCUUAGGGUUUCCAUUGCUCUGAGGAGACACCACAACCAAAGCAUCUCCUAUAAAGGAAGACAUUUAAUUGGAGCUGGCUUACAGGUUCACAGGUUCAGUCCAUUAUCAUGGCAGAAGCACAGCAGCAUCCAGGCGCAGCAUCCAGGCAAGCACGGUGCUAGAGGAGCUGAGAGCUCUAUGUCUUGUUUGGAAGGCAAACAAGAGAAGGCUUGGCCUCUCCUGGCAACUAGGGGGAGGGUCUCGAAACCCACCCCCACAGCAACACACUUCCUCCAACAAAGCCACACCUCCUAAUAGUGCCACUCCCUGGGCCAAGCAUGUUUAAAUCGCCACAUUCCACUCCCUGGUCCCCCACGGCUUUUUCAAACACUUAAGUCUAUAGAGCUAUACCCAGCCAUAGCAUAAUGCGAAAUGCACUUAGUCCAAUUUAAGUCUCCACAGUCUAUAACAGUACCAAUAAUGUAAAAUGUCCAAAAUUCAAAGUCUCUCCUGAGAUUCAUCCAAUCACUUAAAUAUAAUCCCCUAUACAAUAAAAAUAAAAAAGCAGAUCACAUAGCUCCAGCCUCAUAGGAUAAAUAUUACCAUUCCAUAACAUCAUAGCGAGGAAAUGCUGAACCAAGGCAAGAUCAAAACCCAGCUGUGCAAACUCCAAACUCUGUCUCCACAUCUGAUGCGAAAGUGCUCUUCAGCUGUUUGACUGAAGCACAGUUCUUUCUGGUUGGUUCCACUCUCUACAGUCGCUUUCCUCAGCAGGUGUCCCCUGCCUCUGUCAUCUCUAACAUCUUGAGUGUUCCAGGGCAACUUCAAGCUUACAGCUUCUUGUUCCAAUGUCUGUGAUUUACAAAUGAUCUUCUCUGCACUUCCAAAAGACUUGGGUUCCACUUCCAGCUCUGCCUUCUGGAGCUCUCUACACUCUGAUUGGCCCUACUCGACUGCUGCUGGAUUGGGGCGUCAUCCUAUAGCACUGGCAUCUUCUGUAUGCUGAGUUGUUCUUUUGCAACUAGACUUCACCCUUCGUGCUGUCAUGCAUCCACUUUUUGGCAUGAUCCCUUAGUCCUGGGCUAUGAACUGCAACUGAGGCUGUGACUCCACCAAUGGCCUUUCCUGACCACUCAGAGUACCAAGCACCAGUUGCUUUCCGUGACCCUUCAUGCCUUCAAAACCAGUACCACCUGGGAAAUUGUCAUACAUUACCAAGUGCAGCUACAGCACAAGGUACAACCUUGGCUGUCUCUGGAGCACAGCUUCCUUGUAUUCUCGGAAAAUGCCUCUCAGAACAUUUCACCUUCUUUGUACUCUCAAAAGUGUUUCCCAUAAGAUUUCACUUCAGUGAUGCUGAUCUCUUCUUAGUCACUGUUAAUUUUUUAGCUCCAGCCAAUCAGCAUCAAUUUCUACUCUCAACUCUUAAACCCAGAGCCAUGUGGUCAAAGCUGCCAAGUUCUGCUUGCCAGAGGUGAAAUAUGGCCCCCUUGUUCUUUUAUCGCCAGCUCAUGUUUUCCUAAUCCUUCACUUCCUAAGCCUGGCUGUCCUGGAACUUGCUCUGUAGAUUGACCUUGACUUCUGAGAUCUGUCUGGAUAUGUCUCUUGAAUGCUGGGAUUAAAAGCAUGAAUGGACCUAAGCUUGUCCUUGGACUUCCUCUGUACCAGGCUGGCCUUGAACUCAGAGAUCUGCUUGCUCUGUCUCUUGGGAUUAAAGCAUGUGCCACGCUGCCUGGACCUAAGCUUUUCAUUAUAUAUCUUAACAAAGUUGAAAACCAAGAAUAGCCAUCACAAUCUACAUCUUGUCAAGUUGAAACAGAAUCAUAUCUCCUUUUGUCCAAAUGAAAACAGCAAACAGGUCAUAACGCCUAAUAUGAUAAAGUAUCCCUUGUACACCUGAAAAUGCAUAAAUUUAUAUGGGUGGGGUCUUGCCUUAAAGUUGUCACUCCCAUAAUUCCAUUUAAUAUCCUUAAACACGGGAUUUGGCUUCAUUCCGCUUCCUGGUGCUUCUUUACUCUUUGACCUAUACAUUUUGUAUUUUCCCUUUCUAAACUUGCUACAUUUGAUUAAACUGCUCUUCGUUAGAGUAAACCUGAGGAUAGAGUAUGCUGGAAGUUUUUGAGAUGUCCUCUGUCAAAGCAAUUAGAAUGAAUUUCUUCACCUUAGCCUUAGGCAGACUUUGCCCAAGGGUGAAAGGAAACAAACUCUCCACCAAAUAUCACAAGAACACUCUCUAGACAGCAUAUUGAAAUUCUUCUCCUCAGAAACCACUUGGAGACCCCCAGACUUCAAAUCACCAUCGGCACCAAUGUAUUCCAUAUUCUUUCUAGGAUGGCCCAUUAAGUCCUGCUUAAAGCAUUCCAUGUCCCCAAAUCCACAUUCUUCUAAUCAAAACAUAGUCUGGCCUGUUACAGCAAUACCUUCCAGUCUCUGGCACCAACUACUGUCUUAGGGUUUCCAUGGCUGUGAAGGGCCACCGUGACCAAAGCAACUCGUACAAAGGACAGCUAAUUUAAUUGGGGCUGCCUUACAGGAUCAGAGGUUCAGUCUAUCAUCAUCUUGGUCGGAAGCAUGGCAGUGUCCAGGCAAGUAUGGUGCUAAAGCAGCUGAGAGUUCUAUGUCUUUUUUGGAAGGCACACAGGAGAAAACUCAGCAUUCUCAGGCAGCUAGAACAAGGAUCUCAAAGCCCACACCCGCAGUGACAGACUUCCUCCAAGACCACACCUACUCCAACAAACCCACUUCUCCUAAUAGUUCCAUUCACUGGGCCAAAGAUAUUCAAACCACCACACCUCUCCUGGGAGCUACAAAGCCUCUGCUAAGGAGGCUUCAUCUUACAGCUGUGUGGCUUCUGGACUCCCGUGUCUCUGGAUACCCUUCCAUUUGGACACUGCUUCAAAACUCUGUGGAUCCUGGUCUUCCAAGUCUCAGGACACCUUCCCAUCCCAGCAGAAAGUCCAGCAUCUUGCUGUCAUGACUUGCGUAGACUCUCUCUGGCGCCCGUGCUUCCCCUCCUCUGUAAGGAUUGAACUGUGCGAGGACUGUGUAUCUCAUCUCCACUUGGCCUGCAGCAGCCUCACCUUCCAGCUCACCUAUAGCUUAACACUACGUCCAGGAGCAUCAAUUGGGAUUACCAGCCCUCAGUUCUGAAGCCAGAGACUGCAACUGCUGGUUAUACCCUGAGAGUGAAGAUUGAACUUGCUCCACAGACUUCAAUCCCACAGAGCAGUAGGAGAGAUGAAGAGGAUGGGGCCUCUACACCCACGUUCAGCAGGACAUAGUCUAAUGAUGUGGCUCCCUUCCCCAGCCCUGACUGCUCAUCAAUAGUAAACAAAAGGGGGAGGGGGACGUUAGCUAUUCAGGCCACACAGGUGGCAGGAAUGGCUUUCCCUACUAUGGAUUCCAUCUGUAACCUUUCAUACUUUGUACACUUGAAAAUAGCAAAUUAAUUACAACAACAACAACAAAACAACAAAACCUCAACCGAGAAAAGAAAACCAAGCACCCAAGGCAAAAAAACAAAACAAAACAGAACAAAACAAAAUAAACCUCAGACCAAAAACCAAACACAAUAAUUAGGGUAAGCAGCAGAUUUAACAGCACAGACGUCCAGCUUGUGGCUCACCUUGGAAAUAUAACAGAAAGGUGCUCAGUGAUUAAUACUCUUGAGGUAAAUGUAGCGUGCACCUGGGUGGAGUGGGGGUUGAUGGACAAGUCCUCCCAAGGCUAAGCACGACACUUGUUACAGGCUUUAGCUCAAGGUCUUUCAAGUUCUCUUGACUGAUCUCCACGAAACUAUUCUUGAUGACUGCAGUGGCCAUUCCUGGUUGUCAACUUGACGAUAUCUGGAGUGAACUACAAUCCAGAAUUGGAUGGCUCACCUGUGAUCCUGAUCUUGGGGCUGAGAGAUACAAGUUUCUGACCUGUAUUUUGACGUGCAGAUCUUAAGGCAAAUGGCUAUGAUUCCCAGGAGCAUAAGGCAAGAGAUCUCUGAAUUCAAGGUCAUCUGGAACAGGCAAGUCCCAGAUCCAGUCAUGUUGGCACAUGCCUUUAAUCUGGGACACACCUUCAGCUGGAGACCUACAUAAAGACAUUGGAAGAACAAAGACUCUUUUUUUCCCCCCUAUCUCCCUUGUGGGACUGAGCCACUGUUAGAUCCUUGGAUUUCCAUUCACAGCUGCUGCUGAUCAUUUUGGGGAGUUGGACUACAGAUUGUAAGUCAUCAACAAAUUCCCUUUAUAGAGACUACCCAUAAGUUCUCUGAGAGCCCUGACUAAUACAAUGACCCAUCAGGGCAAGCACGGAUUUACACUGUCAGAUUCCUCCUGGAUGCCCAGCAGUUCUUGAUUUGCCUCAGCACUUUUCUGAAAUCCCUUCAGGUGCAUAUUCAGCAAGAGGGAACCUCUUACCUCUGUGUGGAAACUCACUUCCCUUUUCUACCAGGGCCACUGCAUUUACUCAGCUUAAAUAUUUCCCUCCUAAGGAUUUCUCUCCAGUAUGGACUCUUUUGUGUAUUUGGAGACUACAGUUUUGGGAAUAGGCUUUAUCAUAUUUAUUUGAAGGGUUUCUCUCCAGUACAAAUCCUUUUACACAUUGGGAGAUUAUCGUGUCCUGAAUAGGCUUUACCACAUUGAUUACAUGUGUAGGGUUUUUUUUUUCUGAUAUGAAUUCUUUUAUGCCUUUGUAGAACAAUAUGUUGUGAAAAGGCUUUACCACUUUCAUUACAUUUGUAAGGUUUCUCUCCGGUAUGAGUUCUUUCUUGCCUUUUGAGAGUACUGUGUUUUGCAAAAGCUUUAACACGUUGAUUACAUUCAUAGGGUUUCUGUCCAGUUUGUUUUUUGUAUUUAGAGACUUGUGUAAGGUGCAAAGGCUUCAACACGCUGAAUAACUUUGUAGGACUUCUUAUCUGAGUGGAUCCUUUCAUGCCUUUGAGCAUGACUGUGAGUGUGACUGUGAGUGUGACUGUGAGCAUGACUGUGAGCAUGAGACUGUGAGCAUGCCUGUGAGCAUGCCUGUGAGCGUGACUGUGAGCAUGACUGUGAGCAUGAGACUCUGAGCAUGCCUGUGAGCAUGCCUGUGAGCAUGACUGUGAGCAUGACUGUGUGAGCAUGACUGUGAGCAUGACUGUGAGCAUGACUGUGUGAGCAUGAGUGUGAGCAUGAGUGUGAGCAUGAGUGUGAGCAUGACUGAGCAUGACUGUGAGCAUGAGUGUGAGCAUGAGUGUGAGCAUGACUAUGAGCAUGAGUGUGAGCAUGACUGUGAGCAUGACUGUGAGCAUGACUGUGAGCAUGACUGUGAGCAUGACUGUGAGCAUGACUGUGAGCAAAGGCUUUACCACAGUGAGUAUAUUCGGAGGGUUUCUCUGCACUCUGACUUCUUUCAUGUCUUUGUCUUCUAGCUCUUUGACAGUGUUCUUCAAUAUUUUGGUCUUCCUAAUUAAAGCCUAUAGCAUAGAGGUUCCUACAGGUCUCUAGCAUGACAUCUUUGUAGAGCUUCUUAUGGGAAGGAUCUAGGAACUCCUGAUCUUCCUGAGUAAAGUUCACAUGCGUGUCCUCAUAAGUCACUGCAUUCACACUGGGAUUUAGUAGCUCAGCCACUCAGCACUCCUCAGAGCCAUCCAACAGCAGAGGUCAAAGCACAUCACACCAACCACUCAACAAUGCAGGUGAACCUGCAGCACCAGUUUCUUGGGUUCUUGGCUUGAAGAAUUCUCAAAGCUCUUCCUGUCCCUAGACAGGUGUUUGUAACAACGACCUGGUGAAACCCACAGCCUUGAGAACUGAGCAACUGCAGGCACACGCAGUCAAAAUUGAGCUAGAAGACAUGUCUGAAAGGCAUUUUCACAGUGGAUCCAAUUGUUAGUGUUUUUGGUGGUCAUUCCUCUUAAGCUUUAGAAUGUAAGCAUCCAUCAUUCACGUAUCAAGAGAGGGAUAUGAAUCUUGAAUUCUCUCAUUAACACUGAAUUUACCUUGCUUGUAUACACUUCAUAUCCUCCGUAAAUCCUGAAUGCCACACACAACAGAGAUGAAGUCAAUAGUUUGUUAGAUAUGCGUGGAUGUCUAGAUCGGUCCUUGGUAAGUCAUGCCACAUGUUUGAGCACACAUCGUCCAAGUUAGCACUUGCCAUUCACAUGCUUUUUUAACACCAAAUACCUCAAAAUAAACCAUUUGCUGAUACCUCUCAGGUACAUAUUAACCACAUAGAAGUCACCAUUAAUCUUCCCACUGGAAUUCAGAACAUCAUGGUGAACAAUUUGUAGGGUCCUCAGACUGAUUUUUUUUCCAAAAAUGCCCGCUGAAUGUCAUGUUUCCUGCUGCUUCCUAGUUGAUGUACUGUCACAUGAGGUAUAAGAGAUUCCCCUUGGGAUGGCGGGCUGCUCAGAGCAGCUUAGUUUGGCCCAGAGGUCUCAGCUGGGGCUUGGGGGACAGAUGGGUGGAAAAAGGGAAGCUCACCUGUAUAGCGUAGGGGUCUGAUGGAAGUAGAGAGGCAGCAGGAGAAUGGAGGUCUCCUGGGAUGGCAGGCUGCUCAGGGAGUGAAUUGGGAGGAAGGGGGAAUAUGGAGAGAAAUGGGGGUUCAGGAUCUGGUGUACUGAAGGCUAAGAGAGGUGAGUAGUGUAGGCAUAGUGCAGUAAAGGUGUAGUGGAGGCUGGAGGACCAUGACCAUGAACGAAGAUCUGCAACUAAUGAGGGUGAGAAGGUGGGGGGCAUCUCUAGGUGAGGGACAGAAACCUGGGAUAAGAGAGGCACCCAAGAAUCAAUGAGGGUGACCUUAGAUGUGGCUUAGUGUCCCUCACGCGACCUCGCCAGCAAGAAAACACGCAGGGACAUACGGAUCCUUGCUACAGCCAAAACUUUUAUUCAAUCUUAAGGAGAAGCCCCACGUGCCCGCAUGGCGCGGCUUAUAUACACCCUAGCGUGGCGAAUCCACACCCGAUUGGUCACUUACCCAUGAUCUCAUAUGGCACGCCCCGGAGUGGGCAAAGACCUGGCAUGAAGGCAUUCUUGCACAUGUGCACACAGUUAACUUCCUGAAGGGAAGUCGGCUGGCGCGGCGGAGGCCAGCGCCAUCUUGUAAUGGCGAAAGCUAUCCUGGCCUUCCACGUGGGGCGCAGUGGAAGCCAGCACCAUCUUGUGGUGGCGAAUGUUAUAGCGGCCCUCUACAUCUCCCCCUUAUAAUUUAUAUAUAACAAAUCAUUUAUUUUAUAACAAAUCAUGAUCACCCUAUCGCGUGCAAUGAGGAAACCUCAGUGAUGUGGAAGGGCUGAUCAAAGGAUCAUUGAGUCUCUCUCAUCCCAGUGCAAUGGAUCCACAGAUCCAUGGGGUGCAAGAGCAGAGAACUCAGAUACCGACUAAUUUUUUGAAGAUAGAUAACCAAAUUCCAGGGGAGGCCCCUUGUUCAAUGGCCACAAGUGCUUGAGUGAUAACAGCCUUGUCACGUUUUUGUUGAGAUCUGAGUUAGCAAACCAACCAUAGCAUGAACACUAAUCCACAGCAUAGGGCUGCACCAAACAGAGCCACUCCCGAUAAGUAGUGGGCACCUCAUCUGGUUCACCUCAGCUGUUACCUCCAAGGGCCGUAGUCAAGCCGCUCCUAUAAUAAAAUUUAGAAUUCUCAAUUGUUAGCAACUACUCCAGAAAGUUCACCCACUGUGCUUGCCUAACAAUAGAUUGGGGGAGGAUAACUCCAGACACUGCAGACACAAUGUCUGUAGCAGUAAUGGCUGCUACAAUAGCAGCGAAAGUGUCAAGGUCUUUUCCAGGACAGUUCAGGAUCUCUGGAACAACCAGCAGGCAAUGGAACCAUGUCUGAGAUCUGUAUAACCAGGACAGAGUUCCCCAGUCCACAGCAGCUUCACGCAGGUGGCAUUCCUGUGAAGCUACAGUCUGUAAAAUGACCAGUUAAGGCAGCAAGAGUCACCAGGGAAAUGAGGGGGGCAGCAACGGCUGGAGUCCAGUCUUCUCCAGCAAGCAGCAGUACACAGAGGGUCAGAGAGCAGGCCACAGUGGGACAGGACACACGCAGCGGUAACACUGACUGCAGCAACGGCAAAAUCUCUGUGAUGUCAAAGGAUGAGGGGGUAAUCUUCCAUCUUCCUCUGGGGGCAGAGGGAUGACUCCAGGGACCCGAACCACGAGAGCUGAAUCUUCAUGUAACCAGGAUCAGCAAGUCUCAGCAACCACCUCUGACAGCUGGCAUACUCUUGUAGCAUCCUGUAGAAAAAACACAAACAUUCCCUCUUCCCCAUAUAAAAUAUCUGGACAGGAUCAUGUCAAUAUGUGGAUCUCUCUAUUUCACCUAGGCAAAAGUAUGCCUAGUUGUAGGGUGCCAUAAACUUUGGCAUCCAAAUUUUAAAAUUGAAAUAAAAGGAGCAUUAUUUAGCAUACAGGGAUAACUCCCCCUUUUUAUUUAUUAAGAUAUAGUAAAGAUAUUAAGGUAAGUCCUCGAGGAUUAAAUUGAGGACACUGAGCACUUGUAUUUAUAAAUUGACUUGUAUACCAAAUUAUUGUCUCCAGCAUUAUUGUUUUGGAUAUAUAAAGAAUGAGAUUUUUUGACUAAUUGUUCCUAUGUAAGGCCUAUAAUCUGUCUGGUAUCAAUGUCCUCCCUUGUUACGGAGCCCAGACAAUCCAGUUUGAGUUCUUAAAUGGUCUAUUAAGGAACAAUACUUAGUGCUCUUAACCACUAAGCCAUUUCUCUAGCACCUCAACAAACUUUAUUUACCUAAACAUAAGCAUUAAUUAGAAAUGUCAAAUCCUGUAAAUAUUGUCCAGAUUCAGUCGUACUAGAAAUCCCUGAACUGGCAGGGUGAGGCUGGGAAUUGAAAGCAAGCAAAUGGAGUCUUCCUCUUUUCAUAUCAACUCCAUUACCAUUUUCAAAGAGCUGGGUCUAUGGUUUUGUUUAGUUGUCUGAGCCAGGGCACUGAAAGGACAGUGAGUUGUCAGACAUUCACACUGAAAUCACUCAUUGAUUUUAAGUAGAAAAUCUGUCUCUAAUAAAGCAUUAAGUAAUUGAAAUCAAUUGUAAUCCACAAGCCACACAUUGGCUAUCAGUAUGUGAAUUGAAAGUUUAAUUUAAAAACAGUGGCUAAACCAUGGAAAUUAAUAAUCUGUGUUGAAGCAAUAGAAACUCAAGAGAAUAAACAAGUGAUCCAAUCAUA